rnacentral:rRNA from 1 species
GAUGAACGCUGGCGGCGUGCUUAACACAUGCAAGUCGAACGGAAAGGCUCCUGCUUGCAGGGGUACUCGAGUGGCGAACGGGUGAGUAACACGUGGGUGAUCUGCCCUGCACUUCGGGAUAAGCCUGGGAAACUGGGUCUAAUACCGGAUAGGACGAUGGUUUGGAUGCCAUUGUGGAAAGUUUUUCGGUGUGGGAUGAGCUCGCGGCCUAUCAGCUUGUUGGUGGGGUAAUGGCCUACCAAGGCGUCGACGGGUAGCCGGCCUGAGAGGGUGUACGGCCACAUUGGGACUGAGAUACGGCCCAGACUCCUACGGGAGGCAGCAGUGGGGAAUAUUGCACAAUGGGUGCAAGCCUGAUGCAGCGACGCCGCGUGGGGGAUGACGGCCUUCGGGUUGUAAACUCCUUUCGCUAGGGACGAAGCGCAAGUGACGGUACCUGGAGAAGAAGCACCGGCUAACUACGU